GAGUGAUGUGAUGGCAUACCAUCUUUCGGGACUGACUCAUAUAAUGGAGAUUUCUUUCAUUUUACUGAUCACUU